UACAGAGGUCUCAAGCGUUGUUCGGAUUUAUUGGGCGUAAAGAGCGUGUAGGCGGCCAGACAGGUCCGUUGUGAAAACUGGAGGCUCAACCUCCAGACGUCGAUGGAAACCGUCUGGCUAGAGUCCGGAAGAGGAGAGUGGAAUUCCUGGUGUAGCGGUGAAAUGCGCAGAUAUCAGGAAGAACACCCGUGGCGAAAAGCGGCUCUCUGGGACGGUACUGACGCUGAGGAGCGAAAAGUGUGGGGGAGCGAACAGG
rnacentral:rRNA from 1 species